rnacentral:rRNA from 1 species
UACGGAGGGUGCAAGCGUUAUCCGGAUUCACUGGGUUUAAAGGGAGCGCAGGCGGACUUGUAAGUCAGUGGUGAAAUACCUGAACUUAACUCGGGAACUGCCAUUGAUACUAUAGGUCUUGAAUGUUGUUGAGGUUUGCGGAAUGGGUCAUGUAGCGGUGAAAUGCAUAGAUAUGACCCGGAACACCUAUUGCGAAGGCAGCAGGCUAAACAAAUAUUGACGCUGAGGCUCGAAAAGCGUGGGGAUCAAACAGG